UACGUAGGGGGCAAGCGUUGUCCGGAUUUAUUGGGCGUAAAGAGCGUGUAGGCGGCCAGGGAGGUCCGCUGUGAAAUCUCGAGGCUCAACUUCGAGCUGUCGGUGGAAACUGUCUGGCUAGAGUCCGGAAGAGGAGAAUGGAAUUCCUGGUGUAGCGGUGAAAUGCGCAGAUAUCAGGAAGAACACCCGUGGCGAAGGCGGUUCUCUGGGACGGUACUGACGCUGAGACGCGAAAGCGUGGGGAGCGAACAGG
rnacentral:rRNA from 1 species